UCCAGUCUGAUUUCCGAGAGAUACAGAAAAGAGAUAGUGAGAGAGAGAGCAAGAGAAAUAUUGUGCCAUAGCGUAGAGGCACUAGAAAUCAACUUAAAACAAGGGUCCAUGUUCAGUCUGACCUCAAAGAUCUGCUGGAAAAAAAUCCUCGUGUGCUUUCUUUCUUGCUUAAAGAGAUGAACAAAUGAUGGAAAGGGCAGGCACCACCCAGGCUCUUAUGACCUCCUGCAUUUAAUGGAAACACAUCCCUAUUUUUACAAGGCUCCUCACUAAAGGACAGGUAGAAUACAGAUUUUUUCUUAUUUUACUUUCCAAAACUCAACUGGAAUCAGAAAUUAGAAGUCUCAUCUUGCAACAUAAAGGACCAAGGCAACAGACAAAUUGGCCUUUCUCCACUGAUAUAAUGAGAGAAAAUGAAGAAGAAGAUGGAAGCAGAAGCAGCAAGUAGACAAGCAGAUGUAGAUGUGCACUUGGAUACCAGACCUCUGGAUAGCAAAGGAGCAUACAGUACCCAGCACCUUGAAGAUAAACAGCUCAGAAAACACUCUCAGGAAAGCACUGCACUGUGUUAUAUCAGAUCACAAGAUAAUGCUCUCACAAAGGGAUGCACAGGAGUUCAACUCUGUGUCACCUCCUGUUCAGGCACCAGCAGAAGAAGCGAGCUGGGCAACCUUCAAAUUUUCCGUACAUCAGUACUACUGAGUCUUGGGAACAGAACCAAAUCAUUUCUGCAUUUGAGGCUAGUUUUGUCUUUGCAACUGACUGUAAAACCCCAACCAAACAGAAACACAAUGGUGAUGAAGCCUGGUAAGCAGCGGGUGCCAACAAUGCCAGACUGGGAAUGAUGAAGUCAAGCGGUUCGGCCACUUAUAGUUUCACAACGGAUGGGGAUGUUCCAGGAACGAAUAGAUGCUCGAGGUUCACAAUGACUUAUUCAGCAUUCACAUACACUGAAUAAAGAGACUCGAAAAAAGAAACACACACAACCACAAAAGCCAAGCUGGUUGAAGCACUGAUUUGGGGUAAUUGUUGUCGAGAGAUGAAUAUGACGACUCGAUGGGUAUGAAAAGCUGGACCCAGAUGGCAGUAGGUAAGAAAAGAUCGUAGCAAUCAACUCUGCAGCAUAGCUGUCAGCAAUACAAGGACAGAUCAUUCCGUUAAUAUCAGGAGAAUGGAAGAGGAUCUUUUCGUUGCUGUGGGAAGAUCAAGGUAUUAAAAUUACAUACGUACAUACGUCAAGAAGUGAAGACCAAUUGCAGGACAGAUACAGGAACCUUUAAGCAGCUCCUUUUAGGAUUGUAUGUAUGACUUCAGAAUGUUUGAUCCAAGAAAGCCUGGCAAAUGUUUAAGACCUUCUAUAGUGCUUUGCAAAAAAAAAAAAAAAUAAAAAUGUUAUGUGGUUGAGAACAUUUUCUCUGACUUCUGACAUGCUUGAGGAAGGCCAGUGAUAUCACUGGGGAAUCUUAUGGAUGGAAUGAAGGGCACAAGUUAGUUGUCCUAAUAAUCUUCGUACUUGAUUGGGCUUAAACAAUGAAAGGGUGCUUUUUCAAAACCACAUUUGAAAACAAUUUUUUUG